UACGGGGGGGGCAAGCGUUGUUCGGAAUUACUGGGCGUAAAGGGCUCGUAGGUGGCCAACUAAGUCAGACGUGAAAUCCCCAGGCUCAACUUGGGAACUGCGUCUGAUACUGGAUGGCUUGAAUUCGGGAGAGGGAUGCAGAAUUCCAGGUGUAGCGGUGAAAUGCGUAGAUAUCUGGAGGAAUACCGGUGGCGAAGGCGGCAUCCUGGACCGAGAUUGACACUGAUGAGCGAAAGCUAAGGGAGCAAACGGG
rnacentral:rRNA from 1 species